rnacentral:rRNA from 1 species
AACGAACGCUGGCGGCAGGCCUAACACAUGCAAGUCGAGCGAGGACAUCGGUCCUAGCUGCGGACGGGGGAGUAACGCGUGGGAACGUGCCCUUUGCUUCGGAAUAGCCCUGGGACACUGGGAGUAAUACCGGAUGAGCCCUUUGAGGGAAAGAUUGAUCGGAGAAGGAUAGGCCCGGGUUGGUUUAGGUUGUUGGGAGGGUAAUGGCCUACGACGCCUACGAUCCAUAGCUGGGUUGAGAGGAUGAUCAGCGACACCGGGACUGAGACGCGGUGCAGACUACUACGCGAGGCAGGAGUGGGGAAUCUUAGACAAUGGGGGAAAUGCUGAUCUAGCCAGGCCGCGUGAGCCAUGAAGGCCUUAGGGUUGUACAGCUCUUUCAGCUGGGAAGGUAAUGACGGUACCAGAAGAAGAAGCCCCGGCUAACUCCGUG